UACAGAGACUGCAAGCGUUAUUCGGAUUCACUGGGCGUAAAGGGCGCGUAGGCGGCCUUCUAAGUCGAACGUGAAAUCCCUGGGCUCAACCCAGGAACUGCGUCUGAUACUGGAAGGCUUGAGUUCGGGAGAGGAAUGUGGAAUUCCAGGUGUAGCGGUGAAUGCGUAGAUAUCAGGAAGAACACCGUGGCGAAGGCGGCUCUCUGGACGGUACUGACGCUGAGG
rnacentral:rRNA from 1 species